rnacentral:rRNA from 1 species
GAUGAACGCUGGCGGCGUGCCUAACACAUGCAAGUCGAACGAAGCAUUAGAACUCGAUUUUUUCGGAAUGAAGGUUCUUAUGACUGAGUGGCGGACGGGUGAGUAACGCGUGGGCAACCUGCCUUACACAGGGGGACAACAGCUGGAAACGGCUGCUAAUACCGCAUAAGCGCACGGUCUCGCAUGAGACAGUGUGAAAAACUCCGGUGGUGUAAGAUGGGCCCGCGUCUGAGUAGCUGGUUGGUGGGGUAACGGCCUACCAAGGCGACGAUCAGUAGCCGACCUGAGAGGGUGACCGGCCACAUUGGGACUGAGACACGGCCCAA